UACGUAGGGGGCAAGCGUUGUCCGGAAUCAUUGGGCGUAAAGCGCGCGUAGGCGGCCCGGUAAGUCCGUUGUGAAAGUCAAAGGCUCAACCUUUGAACGCCGAUGAUACUGCCGGGCUAGAGUCCGGAAGAGGCGAGUGGAAUUCCUGGUGUAGCGGUGGAAUGCGCAGAGUAUCAGGAGGAACACCAAUAGCGAAGGCAGCUCGCUGGGACGGUACUGACGCUGAGGCGCGAAAGCUAGGGAAGCAAACGGG
rnacentral:rRNA from 1 species